GACGAACCGUGCGAACGUUAUUCGGAAUCACUGGGCUUAAAGCGCGUGUAGGCGGAUGAGCACGUCUGUCGCUGAAAUCCCCCGGCUCAACCGGGGAACGGGCGUGGAUACGACUUGUCUGGAGGGGCGUAGGGGGACCUGGAACUUCCGGUGGAGCGGUGAAAUGCGUUGAGAUCGGAAGGAACGCCCGUGGCGAAAGCGAGGUCCUGGACGCCUACUGACGCUGAGACGCGAAAGCCAGGGGAGCGAACGGG
rnacentral:rRNA from 1 species